rnacentral:rRNA from 1 species
GACGAACCGUCCUAACGUUGUUCGGAUUUACUGGGCGUAAAGGGCGCGUAGGCGGUCAGCACAAGUCAGUUGUGAAAUCUCCGGGCUUAACCCGGAAAGGUCAACUGAUACUGCGCGGCUAGAGUGCAGAAGGGGCAACUGGAAUUCUCGGUGUAGCGGUGAAAUGCGCAGAUAUCGGGAGGAACACCAGUAGCGAAGGCGGCUCGCUGGGCCAUUCCUGACGCUGAGACGCGAAAGCUAGGGGAGCGAACAGG